rnacentral:lncRNA from 1 species
GUCCUCCAUAUGAAAAAUAAUUUGUGUGUUUUUAGUGGACGGGAUAUGAUCGGAAAACUUUAGAAUCCAACCCAAAAGUUUUCCUCUUCCAAAUGACCGUGAGUAUAACGUUUAUUUCUUCAAUCUGGUCAGUCACACAGAAAUGCUUAGGGCCUGUGUCACGGAACCACAUUAAGCCUUAUUCCAUGUUUAAAAGCCAUUUCCAUUGAGCAUGCUUUUCAGUCCAGGUUUAGGUUUAAUCAGGAUCUGGGAAAAUGACCCAUAAAGAUACCAUUCCACUGUACCACAUUCUGACUCCUCCAGAGUUCCAGGAGCUGGUCCUGGGUCUGCUGGUGGACAUCAGUCAGUGAGUGAAGGUUCUGGUAGGAUGGGUGGGAGUUUUGUAACACUGGGAUUCUGCUGAGGGUUCUGGACCUGGAACAGACUUCCAGUUUGAUGUGUGUAGAAUCCUGGAAGACGUGGCCAACCUGGAGAGAGUUCUAGAGACUCCGGAGGUAGCUGCCCAGAUGGUAUGUGGAUCUGCAGAGAAGCAUUGAUUGACAAACUGGCAUCAAUGAAUUUACCUCCACUUAAAGUUGUUGGUGUAACUCCAAUACAUAUCGAAUAAUACAUUUUUUGGUAGUUAAAAAAAACAUGUUUUUCAGAAACAGUUCCUGAGUAGGAUCGGUGGGAACACGUUGAGGGACAAUGUCACCGGAGUGAUGGAGAGGUGGACACACACUGCCUAAAAUACUGUUGUAAAUCUCUCUUUCUGUGACUGGUAUUUGAUGGGUAACAGUCUUCUCUUACUAGGCUGAUGACCAAUGAACUGAUGAGCAACUUCAACAUGAAAGGAAGGAAAUGGACCAAGAAGAGUUUUCUCACACACUCCCUGAGCAAAAUCUUUAUUGACAUCAUCUUGAUUACCCACCCAUAUGCCACUGAGUCUGCUGUCCUGCACCUGAUGGUCAACGUGCUGAAUACGCCCCAGACAGACAUGGAGGGGGAGGCCUACAAAACAGUUACAUGCACCUACCCCACUACCACUGCUCUGUUGCUGAUAACUGGGAUGAAUGCA